rnacentral:lncRNA from 1 species
UCCCACAGAACCAGUCUGCCAGGCUUCCACAGAGGCAUCCUCAGCCCGCUCCACCCGAGGCCGCGGGUCUUGCGCUGAGUGGAUGGGUGGCCCGGGCCAGACCAGACACAGCGCCUGCGUCCCCGGCCUGGGAAACCGCCUUUCCCCCAGGUCCUAUCUGGACCACUUUCGCCCGCCCCAAAUAUCCAGCAACGCGUAGGAGGCUUGAGAAUGAAAACAGCUUCUGGAGACAAGGAACCCGUUCAGAAGGAGCUUACAAAUAAAAUAAAAUACCACGCCUGCGCCCGGGUGACUGACUGAUGUGUCUGAAUUUUCCCGGAGAAGCAGCACUAACUGCAGGAUCUCAGGCGAGAAGAGGUUUUAAAGCUCUUCCUCGUGACUCCUCUCUGACCUGCCAGGAAGGAGCCAGCACCAGGGACGAAACCCAGUCUGGCAGCCGGCGGCCGAGUCAGACUCCAGCUCUGAGGCCACAGCUAUGUGACUGUCUGGAACCUGCCAGAAGCGUCACCACCCCCUCUUGCUACAUCAGGACACAUCAGACAGGAAAAUUCAUCUUAGCUGUCAGUCUGUGCAACAUUC